AGAAAAUAAAAUACUAAAUAGAAUAUUUUGACAUAUAAAAAUGGCUUCAGGAAAAACUAUUUCAAUUAAAUGUGAGAAAACAUACACAUUUUUUUCAAUUUGAAAAAGGGGGGUUGAAACUUUCCAAUAUACUACUAGUCAUUAAAACGAUUUUUUAGAAAAAUGUGACCGUACGAAAUUCUGACGACAGGGCAAAAACUAAAGAAGACAUAUUUGUCUUUCAGUUAAGACCAUUUUUAGUCGUGUGUUAUUUGGGGAGAUUAAACUCGCGAUCUAGACGACUUUUUACACUUCUGUCACCGCACUAUA
rnacentral:lncRNA from 1 species